rnacentral:rRNA from 1 species
UACGGGGCGCAGCAGGCGCGAAACCUCUGCAAUGCGGGAAACCGUGACAGGGGGAUCCCAAGUGCUCAUGCAUUGCAUGGGCUGUUCUUUGGUCUAAGUAACCAGAGGAGUAAGGGCUGGGCAAGACCGGUGCCAGCCGCCGCGGUAAUACCGGCAGCUCAAGUGGUAGCCGCGAUUAUUGGGCCUAAAACGUUCGUAGCCGGAUAAGUAAGUCUUUGGUUAAAUCCUGCGACUUAACCGUGGGAAAUCUAGAGAUACUGCUUGUCUUGAGACCGGGAGAGGUUGGAGGUACUCCUAGGGUAGGGGUGAAAUCCUGUAAUCCUAGGGGGACCACCUGUGGCGAAGGCGUCCAACUGGAACGGGUCUGACGGUGAGGGACGAAACCUAGGGGAGCGAGCCGGAUUAGAUACCCGGGUAGUCCUAGGCGUAAAUGAUGCGAGUUAAGUGUGGGGGCAUCUACGAGAUGGCCCUGUGCUGUAGGGUAGCCGUUAAACUCGCUGCCUGGGGAGUACGGUCGCAAGGCUGAAACUUAAAGGAAUUGGCGGGGGAGCACCACAAGAGGUGGAGGCUGCGGUUCAAUUGGAUUCAACGCCGGA